rnacentral:sRNA from 1 species
UUUCAUUGUCCAUAAUAAUGCCAUAACUGCUCAAUGGUUGGGUGAGGUGAGCUUUGGAAUUUGGAGCUUUGUGGUGGUGGGGGUCUCCGUCGGUGAGAUGUUUCCACUGAAGUGAGAGCGAAGUGAAGACAGAAGACCGAGGUUGCCACACAUUCUCGGUGUUUGGUGCACAUAAAAAAGUGGUGGACAACCUGUCAUGAAAAAGAAAAUGGAAGUAAAGACAAGAUCUGAAGAAGAGUUUUAGCAUCGGUUUCUCUUGUAUGCAUGUUGCUGGUAUUGAGCCAGGGAUUAGAAAAGUAGUAUGCAGCAUUUGGAUUGUCGUUUUUGUCACGAUUUGAUCAUUAUAAUAAUUCUGGUAAAUCAAAAGUAUAAUCACUAUUUUAGUUUGUGU